rnacentral:lncRNA from 1 species
CCACUGUUGUCUGUGUCCAUGUUCAUGAACAUUUGCUUCAAGCCCUUGAUCUCUUCCUCAUUAAGGUUUGAAGCAAUAACCUGCACAUACAUUUGGUAAUAAGCACAAAUGAAGGGAAAAAAUAGCUAAGCAAGCAUCAACAUGAAGAUAAUAACCUUCAGAGCCAUCUUUUUCAGCUUAUUCAUUGCUCUGAAUUGCUUCAUUCUAGAAAGAACAGCACUGUCAAUAGGCUUAUCAGAUGCGUCUCCACCUUCUCUGAGCCAAGGAUGUUCUGAUCAAGCAUUUAACGUACAAAUUAUUAUUAUUAUUAUUAUUUCUGAAAAGUUGCUGAAUUAGAAAUUAACGCAGUGCUAGAAGCUUACGAAGAACUUGACCCGAAGUAAGUCUUUUCUUUGGAUCUCGUGUCAACAUCUUCCUAACCAGGUCUUUAGCACUCUCAGAAAUUGAUGGCCAAGGUUGACUUUCAAAGUCAAUCUCCUCAUGCAGAAUAGCAUCAAAUAUCCCCUUUUCGGUUUCUACACAGGAAAGAAGAGGAUAAAUAAACAAAAAAGGAUAGCAUUGCUGCUUAAUAGUAGACAUGUAAUAUGUUGAAGUGGUUCUUAGAGGUACAUGUACCAGCCCAAAAUGGAGGCACGCCACUGAGAAGAAUGUACAACAUAACACCGGCACUCCAAACAUCUAUCUCUUUUCCGUAGCUACGCCUAAGGACUUCAGGAGCAACAUAAUAAGCACUUCCAACAAUGUCCCUGUACAUCUUUCCUGUUAUGUUCAAAAGGCAGCCAGUGAAGAGAUAAUGAGAAAUCCCAAAGCUAGAAAUUUAGGGUCUAAUGCUAUUAAUCAUCAAAAAUUUACUGCAGUUUGUUACACCAAGUUCCCUUAAUUAGGAAUUAUAAAAAAAAUAUCCAAACACUGAGAUCACUGAUGGAAAUGUCCAAUGAAAAAAUAUGGUCUACCUCCCCACAGCAAGCAAUUUUCUUAUUUUCAUAUAUUCUGCAAUUGCUAACAUCAUCCAAACCAAUAUUUAUACAUCUCCCCAAAUAUAAGGAUCGCCACUAAGAGGACAAUAAGAUUCUUAAUGUGAUAGCAACUGGGCUUCAAACCAGUCAAACAUUAAAAACCAUUGAGCUAUCAUCACUAGUUUACUAGUGGUUUCUCACUCAUAACUGAUACAGAACCAGCUUCAUAGUAUUCGAUGCCUGAAACUGAACAUGGCAACAAUCACCAGUUUUGGCUGGUUCUCUGUGAAACUAGGCGGGAUCAACAGGUAUUCAAGUGACUUAAGUACUAUGGCACAUUAUGUUUACACUUUGCAGUAUCAAAAAUGUUGCCCAUGACAUGUCCAAAAAGGUGUGAAUUAUCCACAAGCUCUUGAAUUGCGUGGAAUGAAAAAGUGCCAUAAGUUCUAAUGACCUGAAAUCAGAUUGUAUAUGGAAUGCUAGCCUUAGCUGGGUUGUUCAGCAAUAUGAACACUGAAAACUACAACCAGCCACGAACCUCAACAGAUCAAAGUUCAGAAAUAUAUGUCUAAAUGCUAUUGCAAAUAAUGCACAUUCCAAGCGUACAUAGAUCAUAUAUAUUCGAAUUACCUUCUUCAAUAAAGACCGAAAGCCCAAAAUCAGUGGCCUUGAGCAUUGCAUUCUCCUCCUUAGUUGCGAGCAAGAAAUUCUCUGGCUUCAGAUCACGGUGCAUCACUCCCAUGAAGUGGCAAAUGUUCACAACAUUCACAACUGCUCUGCAGAUUGUAGCAGCUGCCCGUUCUGUGUAGUGCCCCUUAGCAAUGAUCCGGUCGAAUAGCUCGCCACCUGCACAGAGCUCCAUCACCACAUGCACAUUGCUCUUAUCCUCAUACGCUCCCCUGAACUCGACAAUGUUUGGCUGUCCGGACAAAUGCUGCAUGAUCUGGAUCUCCCUGCGGAUGUCCUCCCUAUCUGCCUUGCUGGUGAGCUUGCGCUUAGAGAUGGACUUGCAGGCGUACUGCCUGCCUGUGGCAAUCUCUGUGCAGAGGUAUGUCACCCCGAACUGGCCCCGGCCAAGCUCCUUCCCAAGGGAGUAGACUGUGCGCACAUCCUCGUACUGCUUGCCAAGAAUUGUGUCCCCUGUGGGCUUCGGUGGGACAACUACAGGUGGGACUACUGGAGGGUUCAUCGCCGGCGGCGUGUACCGUACCUCAGUCGGUGGCGGAGGAGCAUUGUAACUGGGAGGUGUAUGUGCUGGCUUUGCCUGGUUAGAAUAGCCAUACCCAUUGGUAACUCCCCGUCCAGAAUCCGGGGCCGUAGCUCUGCUGCAACACUGACCCAUUUCUCUAGUCAAAUUAUUCCUUCGAGUUCCAAGCUUGCAACCUGGCUGCUGAGCAGAUUAGAACUAUCAAGAACUGAACCUGCAGGGAUUCCAAGGAGGAAAGCAAUUGUGUCAAAACAAAGCAAACCAUUCAAGAAAUAUUUAUGUUGUAAUUUGAGAGUCAUGAUUCAAGACAAGAUAUCCAAUACUGGAUCUGCAAGCAAAACCCAAACAAUAGGACUCAAUAAAGAAUAGUAGAAGAGUACAAAAGAAGCAAUGCAAAGAAUUGCCUCUGACACGACGUUGACCUCUUUCUACUCUGAACCCAAUUCAAAAAACGCAAGAACUACAAGGAAACAAGGCAGAUGACCAUUCCCUUUGGUGGCACUGGAAGCAAUAAGGAGAUAAGGAUACAGGCAAGUUUAGGUAAAGAGAGGCAAGGAAAAGGGCCACUGAAAGCAACAGCAUCAACAAAGGCAGUCGGCACUGAGACCCAGGGGAAAUAAAGGAAGCCACAAGACCCAGGAUUCCGUAUCGUAGCAAUGGAUUGAUCGAGACAAGCGGAAAAGAUAUAAAUAAGAUAUAACAGCUCGGGACUGCACUAAAAUUUACCUGUGCGAAGAAUUUCAGAAUACGAAAUCCACUGAAUGGAAGAACAGCAGAAGCAAAAAAUAAAAGACGAACAAAUUGCUAAAAGAGGAGGUAUGGAAGUAGACUGCUUUGUACGUGAGGCAUGAGUAACAUGGUAACAGAUGAAGCUGUGUAGCACUACUCCAGAUCCGGAAACACAAGAUUCUACUCGCGACCAAGUGAAACCUACCAAGCUUCCAAGAACGAAAAAAGGGGACGAUAAUCCCCGCACGGAAUCACACAGCAACCUCCCCGAUCCAAGAAACCAAGAACUGGGCUAGCAGACACACCUACCUACUGAGAGGAACAGGAUUCCAACCUCAAGAGACCCGCGGAAGCAACCACCCCUCCACCGCAGGAAGAACUGGGCUCAGGAGAUAGGUCUAAAGAUCAAAUCUUGGAGGAGCAGCGGAGAAGGUUAGGAGGGAGGACAGAGCAAGGACAGCUCGGCGCGGCGACCGCGGGGAGUGGAUUGGAGGUGGUGGCCACCGCAAUUGGCGCCCCCGCGUCGAUCGUGACAGCGACUAAUCCACACGGGGCCGGGAGCUAAAGAUCUCGCAGCGAGUAAAAUAGCCAGGCCGAAUUUCUCCAAGGAAAAGGUUGACAGGGAGAAGAAAUGGGGGCGGCGUGUCUUGAGAAAAAAAAAAGCUCUAACCUUGCUUUGCUGUC